UACAGAGGUCUCAAGCGUUGUUCGGAUUCAUUGGGCGUAAAGGGUGCGUAGGCGGCGCGGUAAGUCAGGUGUGAAAUCUCGGGGCUCAACCCCGAAACUGCACUUGAUACUGCCUCGCUUGAGUACUGGAGAGGAGACUGGAAUUUACGGUGUAGCAGUGAAAUGCGUAGAUAUCGUAAGGAAGACCAGUGGCGAAGGCGAGUCUCUGGACAGUUACUGACGCUGAGGCACGAAGGCCAGGGGAGCAAACGGG
rnacentral:rRNA from 1 species